CAGUAGCCACGGUAAUACGUAGGGUGCAAGCGUUAUCCGGAAUUAUUGGGCGUAAAGAGCUCGUAGGCGGUUUGUCGCGUCUGUCGUGAAAGUCCGGGGCUCAACUCCGGAUCUGCGGUGGGUACGGGCAGACUAGAGUGAUGUAGGGGAGACUGGAAUUCCUGGUGUAGCGGUGGAAUGCGCAGAUAUCAGGAGGAACACCGAUGGCGAAGGCAGGUCUCUGGGCAUUAACUGACGCUGAGGAGCGAAAGCAUGGGGAGCGAACAGGAUUAGAUACCCGCGUAGUCCCUGUCUCUUAUAC
rnacentral:rRNA from 1 species